UACGUAGGGUCCAAGCGUUAUCCGGAAUCACUGGGCGUAAAGCGUGCGUAGGUGGCGCGUUAAGUGUGAUGUUAAAUCGCGGGGCUCAACCCUGUCGAUGCAUCGCAUACUGGCGUGCUAGAGGGAAGCAGAGGCAAGUGGAACUAGUAGUGUAGCAGUGAAAUGCGUAGAUAUUACUAAGAACACCAAUGGCGAAGGCAGCUUGCUGGGCUUCUUCUGACACUGAGGUACGAAAGCGUGGGGAGCGAACAGG
rnacentral:rRNA from 1 species